CUCAAGGAGUGUUAUAUCAAACGAAAGUAGUUGAGCAAUUGCAAAAUACGAAAUCGGACACAAUGAAUUGAGAA
rnacentral:sRNA from 12 species